AGCAGCAGCAGGUGGCAGGAAGGAGUGGAGGGAAAGGACACCAAGUCUUGGGGAGAGGGAAGGACCCUUCUUCGGCCUUAGAGGGGAGAGGAGAACCCUGAAGUGGGCCCUCCCAGUCCCAUCUCUGGGCACAGAUCCCACCAGUCUGCUCACCAGUCUGCUCAGUCAAAGCAGAGUGGGUGCACUGGGGUGGACGUGUCAGCCCUGAGCACCCGGCCUCCAGGCUGCAGGAAUAUGAGCCAGUGUCUUCACUUUGCUCG
rnacentral:lncRNA from 1 species